rnacentral:rRNA from 1 species
GACGAACGCUGGCGGCGUGCUUAACACAUGCAAGUCGAACGGAAAGGCCCUGCUCUUGUGGGGUGCUCGAGUGGCGAACGGGUGAGUAACACGUGAGUAACCUGCCCUUGACUUUGGGAUAACUUCAGGAAACUGGGGCUAAUACCGGAUAGGAGCUCCUGCUGCAUGGUGGGGGUUGGAAAGUUUCGGCGGUUGGGGAUGGACUCGCGGCUUAUCAGCUUGUUGGUGGGGUAGUGGCUUACCAAGGCUUUGACGGGUAGCCGGCCUGAGAGGGGGGCCGGCGACAUUGGGCCUGAGAUACGGCCCAUAAUGCUACGGGAGGCAGCGGUGGAGAAUAUUGCACAAUGGGCGGAAGCCUGAUGCAGCAGCGCCGCGUGCGGAAUGACGGCCUUCGGGUUAUAAACCGCUUUCGCCUGUAACAAGGCGUGAGUGACGGUAAUUGGUAAAGAAGCACCGGCUAACUACGUG